UACGUAGGGCGCAAGCGUUGUCCGGAAUCAUUGGGCGUAAAGAGCUCGUAGGUGGUCUGUUACGUCUGCCGUGAAAGUCCGGGGCUCAACUCCGGAUCUGCGGUGGGUACGGGCAGACUAGAGUGAUGUAGGGGAGACUGGAAUUCCUGGUGUAGCGGUGAAAUGCGCAGAUAUCAGGAGGAACACCGAUGGCGAAGGCAGGUCUCUGGGCAUUAACUGACGCUGAGGAGCGAAAGCAUGGGGAGCGAACAGG
rnacentral:rRNA from 1 species